rnacentral:tRNA from 1 species
UCCCUGGUGGCUCAGAUGGUAAAGAAUCUGCCUGCAAUGCAGGAGAUCCAGGUUCAAUCCCUGGAUUGGCAA